rnacentral:rRNA from 1 species
UAAGGAAUAUUGGUCAAUGGACGCAAGUCUGAACCAGCCAUGCCGCGUGAAGGAAGACGGCCCUACGGGUUGUAAACUUCUUUUGUACGGGAAAAAAUCUCCGGUCGUGAAUCGGAGCUGAUGGUACCGUAAGAAUAAGCAUCGGCUAACUCCGUGCCAGCAGCCGCGGUAAUACGGAGGAUGCAAGCGUUAUCCGGAUUCAUUGGGUUUAAAGGGUGCGCAGGCGGAAUGAUAAGCCAGUGGUGAAAUCCUACGGCUCAACUGUAGAACUGCUAUUGAUACUGUCGUUCUUGAGUACACUUGGAGUGGGCGGAAUGUGUCAUGUAGCGGUGAAAUGCUUAGAUAUGACACAGAACACCGAUCGCGAAGGCAGCUCACUAAAUUGUAACUGACGCUCAGGCACGAAAGCGUGGGGAUCAAACAG